GGGAUAUUGGACAAUGGGGGGAACCCUGAUCCAGCGACGCCGCGUGAGUGAAGAAGUAUCUCGGUAUGUAAAGCUCUAUCAGCAGGGAAGAAAGAAAUGACGGUACCUGCAGAAGAAGCCCCGGCUAACUACGUGCCAGCAGCCGCGGUAAUACGUAGGGGGCAAGCGUUACCCGGAUUUACUGGGUGUAAAGGGAGCGUAGACGGCAGGGCAAGCCAGAAGUGAAAACGCAGAGCUUAACUUUGCGACUGCUUUUGGAACUGCCCAGCUAGAGUACAGGAGAGGUAAGUGGAAUUCCUAGUGUAGCGGUGAAAUGCGUAGAUAUUAGGAGGAACACCAGUGGCGAAGGCGGCUUACUGGACUGAGACUGACGUUGAGGCUCGAAAGCGUGGGGAGCAAACA
rnacentral:rRNA from 1 species